rnacentral:tRNA from 1 species
GAGGGUGUAGCUCAGUGGUAGAGCAGCUGCUCAGCAUGCACGAGGUCCUGGGUUCAAUCCCCAGUAACUCCA